UGUGGGAGCGGGCUUGCUCGCGAUGCAAACAACGCCGUCUAUCUGAAUCACCGCGGUGAUGUUAUCGCGGGCAAGUCCGCUCCCACA
rnacentral:antisense_RNA from 1 species